rnacentral:rRNA from 1 species
CCUGGUUGAUCCUGCCAGUAGUCAUAUGCUUGUCUCAAAGAUUAAGCCAUGCAUGUGUAAGCACACACUGUUUUAAAAGUGAAGCCGCGAAUGGCUCAUUACAACAGCCACAGUUUAUUAGAACUUACAAUCAUGGAUAACUGUGGUAAUUCUAGAGCUAAUACACGCACAAAAACUUCAACUGAAUUGGUUGAAGUGCUUUUAUUAGAACAAAAACCGAACGGCGUUUGACGAAUGUUGAACGUCGAAACUGUUUGGUGAAUCUGAAUAACUAUUUCUGAUCGCAUGGUCUAGCACCGGCGACAUCACUUUCAAGUGUCUGCCUUAUCAACCUUCGAUGGUAGUCUAUGCGACUACCAUGGUGAUAACGGGUAACGGAGAAUCAGGGUUCGACUCCGGAGAGGGAGCCUGAGAAACGGCUACCACAUCCAAGGAAGGCAGCAGGCGCGCAAAUUACCCACUCCCAGCUUGGGGAGGUAGUGACGAAAAAUAACGAGACGAUUCUCGUUUGAGAAACGUUAUCGAAAUGAGUACGCUUUACACACGCUAACGAGUAGCAAUUGGAGGGCAAGUCUGGUGCCAGCAGCCGCGGUAAUUCCAGCUCCAAUAGCGUAUAUUAAAGUUGCUGCGGUUAAAACGCUCGUAGUUGAAUUGUGGUCUUAGACAACAGUCCCCCUACAAAGGUGUGGCACGGUUGCUCGAGAUCUUCAUUCGUGGUUGCUGUUGUUGCUCUUCAUUGAGUGUCAAUGGUGCCUCGAGAUUUUACUUUGAAAAAAUUAGAGUGCUCAAAGCAGGUUGUGAUGCCUGAAUAAUGGUGCAUGGAAUAAUAGAAUACGAUCUCGGUUCUAUUUUGUUGGUUUUCGAACCGGAGAUAAUGAUUGAAAGGAACAGACGGGGGCAUUCGUAUUGCUGCGUUAGAGGUGAAAUUCUUGGAUCGCAGCAAGAUGAACAAUUGCGAAAGCAUUUGCCAAGAAUGUUUUCAUUAAUCAAGAACGAAAGUUGGGGGCUCGAAGACGAUCAGAUACCGUCCUAGUCUCAACCAUAAACGAUGCCGACCAGGGAUCAGCGGAUGUUGCUUAUAGGACUCCGCUGGCACCUUAUGAGAAAUCAAAGUUUUUGGGUUCCGGGGGGAGUAUGGUCGCAAGGCUGAAACUUAAAGGAAUUGACGGAAGGGCACCACCAGGAGUGGAGCCUGCGGCUUAAUUUGACGCAACACGGGAAAACUCACCCGGCCCGGACACUGGAAGGAUUGACAGAUUGACAGCUCUUUCUUGAUUCAGUGGGUAGUGGUGCAUGGCCGUUCUUAGUUGGUGGAGCGAUUUGUCUGGUUAAUUCCGAUAACGAACGAGACUCUACCCUAUUAAAUAGUGACAGUAUUGUAUUUUUUGUGCUGAUCACUUCUUAGAGGGACUGGCAAAUUGAAAGCUGCACGAAAAAGAGCAAUAACAGGUCUGUGAUGCCCUUCGAUGUCCGGGGCUGCACGCGCGCUACAAUGAAAGCGUCAACGUGAGUUACGUCCUUACCUGAAAAGGUUUGGCAAUCGAAUGAAACGUUUUCUUGAAUGGAAUAGGGAAUUGCAAUUGUUUCCCUUGAACGAGGAAUUCCCAGUAAGCGUGAGUCAUUAGCUCGCGUUGAUUACGUCCCUGCCCUUUGUACACACCGCCCGUCGCUACUACCGAUUGGAUGAUUUAGUGAGGUGUUUUGACUGGCGCCAGUAGUCGGAUAUGUAUUCGGCUUCGCGCCGGGAAAUUUCCCAAACCAAAUCAUCUAGAGGAAGUAAAAGUCGUAACAAGGUUUCCGUAGGUGAACCUGCGGAAG